GCUCUCCGCCUGGGGCCUAGCCCGAUGGCAAAGCCCACUGGCUGGAAUUGUUUAAAAGUCCCCCGCAAAUAUAAACACCUCCCAGUGUCGGGAGGAUGAAAGAAACCGCGUACUGAUACUGUGUGUGCUGACGCUGGGAGGAGGGGCAGCGAAGGCAGUGUUCAGCUGCUGUUGUGCGGUGCUGAGGCUGGGCCCUGUGAAGAGGAUUCCGUUUACGGCCGUUGGAUGCGUGCCCAGAUUGCCAUGAGCACUGUUCUUGACCCUGUACAUGCAUGUCCCAUGAGGACCAACCAUGAUCCAUUGUGCCCAGACAUCCAGGUAGGAGCCAGAAAAAGCCCUCACUAACUCACACUAAUGAGAGGGAGGCCCAUUGCAGUCCGACGGAGGUUGCUCUUGGUAAUUGAUUUUCUAUUUUUAAAAUAUGUGCUGCAGU